rnacentral:misc_RNA from 1 species
AAAAAUAUUUGCCUCUCCCAUCAAAGAGCUGUUUGCAAACAUGCAAACAGAAAAACAGCACCGAUUUGCAAUUUGUGUCUGAAUGGAGAGUGGGUGUGAGGUGGCAGACUGUGCAGGGAAGUCACACAAGAUAGAAAAUUACAUUUGUUCGUGAUGAUGUGACAGGAAAUUGAGGUCACAUAAAACUAAGAUAAUCAUGAUUUG